rnacentral:rRNA from 1 species
GACGAACGCUGGCGGCGUGCUUAACACAUGCAAGUCGAACGGAAAGGCCCUGCUUUUGUGGGGUGCUCGAGUGGCGAACGGGUGAGUAACACGUGAGUAACCUGCCCUUGACUUUGGGAUAACUUCAGGAGACUGGGGCUAAUACCGGAUAGGAGCUCCUGCUGCAUGGUGGGGGUUGGAAAGUUUCGGCGGUUGGGGAUGGACUCGCGGCUUAUCAGCUUGUUGGUGGGGUAGUGGCUUACCAAGGCUUUGACGGGUAGCCGGCCUGAGAGGGUGACCGGCCACAUUGGGACUGAGAUACGGCCCAGACUCCUACGGGAGGCAGCAGUGGGGAAUAUUGCACAAUGGGCGGAAGCCUGAUGCAGCAACGCCGCGUGCGGGAUGACGGCCUUCGGGUUGUAAACCGCUUUCGCCUGUGACGAAGCGUGAGUGACGGUAAUGGGUAAAGAAGCACCGGCUAACUACG